GAUGAACGCUGGCGGCAUGCCUAACACAUGCAAGUCGAACGCUCUCGCAAGAGGGAGUGGCGCACGGGUGCGCAACGCGUGGGAACCUGCCCUGAGGUACGGAACAACACCGGGAAACUGGUGCUAAUACCGUAUGAUGCCGAGAGGCCAAAGAUUUAUCGCCGUUGGAGGGGCUCGCGUAAGAUUAGGUAGUUGGUGAGGUAAUGGCUCACCAAGCCGAUGAUUUAUAGCUGGUCUGAGAGGAUGAUCAGCCACACUGGGACUGAGACACGGCCCAGACUCCUACGGGAGGCAGCAGUGGGGAAUAUUGGACAAUGGGCGCAAGCCUGAUCCAGCCAUGCCGCGUGAGUGAAGAAGGCCUUCGGGUUGUAAAGCUCUUUUACCGGGGACGAUAAUGACGGUACCCGGAGAAUAAGCACCGGCUAACUUCGUGCCAGCAGCCGCGGUAAUACGAAGGGUGCUAGCGUUGUUCGGAAUUACUGGGCGUAAAGGGCGCGUAGGCGGUAUGCCAUGUCAGGGGUGAAAGGCCUGGGCUCAACCCAGGAACUGCCUUUGAAACUGGCAAACUUGAGUUCGGGAGAGGUAGGCAGAAUUCCAGGUGUAGGGGUGAAAUCCGUAGAUAUCUGGAGGAAAAUCAGUGGCGAAGGCGGCCUUCUGGAACGUAACUGACGCUGAGGCGCGAAAGCGUGGGGAGCAAACAGGAUUAGAGACCCUGGUAGUCCACGCCGUAAACGAUGGAUGCUAGGUGUAGGGGAUAUUAAAAUUCCCUGUCCGUAGCUAACGCGAUAAGCAUCCCGCCUGGGGAGUACGGUCGCAAGACUAAAACUCAAAGGAAUUGACGGGGGCCUGCACAAGCGGUGGAGUAUGUGGUUUAAUUCGAGACAACGCGCAGAACCUUACCAGGGUUUGACAUCCCGUGACUGAUUUCCAGAGAUGGUGUUCUUCAGUUCGGCUGGACACCACACAGGUGCUGCAUGGCUGUCGUCAGCUCGUGUCGUGAGAUGUUGGGUUAAGUCCCGCAACGAGCGCAACCCUCAUCUUUAGUUGCCAGCAUUUAGUUGGGCACUCUAGAGAAACUGCCGGUGAUAAACCGGAGGAAGGUGGGGAUGACGUCAAGUCCUCAUGGCCCUUAUGGGUUGGGCUACACACGUGCUACAAUGGCGGCGACAGAGGGCAGCGACCCCGCGAGGGUGAGCAAAUCUCCAAAAACUGUCUCAGUUCGGAUUGUUCUCUGCAACUCGAGAGCAUGAAGUUGGAAUCGCUAGUAAUCGUGGAUCAGCAUGCCACGGUGAAUACGUUCCCGGGCCUUGCACACACCGCCCGUCACAUCAUGGGAGUUGGCUUUACCCGAAGGUCGUGCGCUAACCGUAAAGGGAGGCAGCGGACCACGGUCGGUUCCGUGACUGGGGUG
rnacentral:rRNA from 1 species